AUUAUUAUCAGAUUUUAUGGAUCUAAUCGAAUUCAUAGCGGAUGUAAGUUUGUAAAUCAAUAUAUACUUUCACACUGAAUUUCCAGUACAAAAGUACCAUUAUCUGGAGUUAGAACAAUUUUAUAACUUUUCUACUCUAAACGCUCUAAGUUCUCUGUAAACGAAAAUUGCCUAUGGUCGCCGAUUAGCCAUUCAUGGCAUAAAGCGAAGCAUCUAUAAUGGAAAGGCAUGACGAGUUUAAAGGAUACUUUGUAUCAAGCGUGAAGAGAUUUUCAGAAGAGUUGGCGUCUUUAUGGCAGUCCAACGAAAAAUCUCGUCUCUUCUUGAUUUAGUUUUCUUCUGGUUCAAUUCUGAUGAUUGAAGGAUUCUCUUCUCAAGUUGUUCGCAGUUGAAAGUAGAAAGCUUCAAUAUUUGGUAUCGGAAUUCCCUGUUCGGAGCAUCCUUACUAUCUAUGGUGGAAUCUUACGACGGAGAGACAGAGCAUGAGAGGCAUCUUCGGGAAGCAAGUGGUGGUUUGGUUUUGGAGGUGCGGCCAAGUUUGAUGCUCAUCGCAUGGAGGACGCGUGUCCCUGUGACGUGUCGUUAGAAGGAACAGCCGACCCACGAGCACUUCUAGAUGUCUCUAUUUGGGCUGCUUUUCAGUUUUUUAAUGAGAUUUGUCUUUUGUUGUAAAAAUCUGAUACCAAAUGUAAUUGCCCAA